UUGAACGGAACGAAUAAACCUGGACCCUUGCUUCUUCUCACUCAUGGCUGGUGUCUUAUUUUUCAUUCUCCAAUUGAAUAUCUGUUACGAUUCCUUGGCGGAGACAAACAAGGACUGGCAAACUGGAGUACGUGGGGCAGACGACAGACGGACCACGGAACGAAAUCAAGGAUUCUAGUGAACAGGCAGCAAAAAAAACAACAGAAACCUAGAGUCUGCUGACACGAAAAACCAAGUUCUGCUCACUCCCGAGUUGCUGACAUGGAAAACCGAGUUCUGCUCACUCUCGAGUUGCUGACAUGGAAAACCGAGUUCUGCUCACUCUCGAGUUGCUGACACGGUCAACCAAGUUCUGCUUAUGCCAGAGUUGCUAACACAGUCAACCAAGUUCUACUUACUCCCGAGUUGCUAACACGGUCAACCAAGUUCUGCUCACGCCCGAGUCCGCUGGCACCGCCAGCCAAGUUCUGCUUAUGCUUGAGACUGACAACACAGCCAACCAAGCAAUGGGUACACCUGAGUCUGGUGGCACGGCCAACCAAGUUCAGCCUGCAGAGUCGAUAGAGAAGGACGCUCAGCCUCUCUGCAUGAUUGAGGACGCCACUCAGCAUCUUUAUACAGCUGAGGACGCUGCUCAGUCUCCCUGCUCCACUGAGGACUUCGCUCUGCCUUCCUGCUCUGAUGAGGACGUCGCUCUGCCUUCCUGCUCCGAUGAGGAUGUUGCUUUGCCUUCCUGCUCCGAUGAGGACGUUGCUCUGCCUUCCUGUCCCGCUGAGGACGUCGCUCUGCCUUCCUGUUCAGCUGAAGAUAUUUUGCCCAGAAGGCCAGGAUGGCCAGGGGAGGGGAGUGUGUUCUGGUGGUUCUGUCACGAUUUCCUCUCGAGCUAGCGCUAGCUAGCAUGCAGCGUUUUCGGUAACCCGAAGCACGAGCUUGAUUUUCGGAGACCUCGACUUUGUUUACUUUCGACACAUGCAUUUGUUAUGGUUUAUGUCCUGUCUCCACUCCUGUAUUGUCAUUGGUUGUUUCCCGUAGGUGUCAUCAUUAGUCUCAGCUGUUUUGUGAUCACCCUUGAUUACAUUUGUCAUUUAAACCCUUCAUGUUUCUUUGUACUUCGCGAAGUAUUACGUGAGUUUCCGUAUACCAAGCAUUUGUUUCUCAGUUCGUGUUAUUAUUUUGAUCUUGUUCUCACCCUCAUUCUCGAUUGCAGUUUUGCCUAGUUUGUGCCUGUUUGCCAAUCGCCUGACCCAUUGCCUGUUUUUUGACCAUGCUACUGUCUCAUGAUUCGGAUUUGUCUGCC
ensembl:lncRNA